GACGAACGCUAGCGGCGUGCUUAACACAUGCAAGUCGAACGGAAAGGCCCUGCUUUUGUGGGGUGCUCGAGUGGCGAACGGGUGAGUAACACGUGAGUAACCUGCCCUUUACUUUGGGAUAACUUCAGGAAACUGGGGCUAAUUCCGGAUAGUAGCUCCUUCUUCAUGGUUGGGGUUGGAAAGUUUCGGCGGUUGGGGAUGGACUCGCGGCUUAUCAGCUUGUUGGUGGGGUAGUGGCUUACCAAGGCUUUGACGGGUAGCCGGCCUGAGAGGGUGACCGGCCACAUUGGGACUGAGAUAAGGCCCAGACUCCUACGGGAGGCAGCAGUGGGGAAUAUUGCACAAUGGGCGGAAGCCUGAUGCAGAAACGCCGCGUGCGGGAUGACGGCCUUCGGGUUGUAAACCGCGUUCGCCUGUGACGAAGCGUGAGUGACGGUAAUGGGUAAAGAAGCACCGGCUAACUACGUG
rnacentral:rRNA from 1 species